UAGGCUGAAACUCGCCUACAUGAAGCUGGAGUUACUAGUAAUCGCAGAUCAGAAUGCUGCGGUGAAUGCGUUCCCGGGUCUUGUACACACCGCCCGUCACACCACGGAAGUUGGGGCGCCCGAAGCCACUUAGCUAACCCUUUUGGGAAGCGAGUGUCGAAGGUGAAAUCAAUAACUGGGGUGAAGUCGUAACAAGGUAGC
rnacentral:rRNA from 1 species